CCAGCAGCCGCGGUAAUUCCAGCUCCAAUAGCGUAUAUUAAAGUUGUUGCAGUUAAAAAGCUCGUAGUUGGAUCUCGGGUCCAGGCUUGUGGUCCGGCGCUGGCCGGUUACUACUCGUCCUGACCUACCUCCCGGUUUGCCCUUGGUGCUCUUGACUGAGUGUCUCGGGUGGCCGGAACGUUUACUUUGAAAAAAUUAGAGUGUUCAAAGCAGGCAAUUCGCCUGAAUAAUGGUGCAUGGAAUAAUGGAAUAGGACCUCGGUUCUAUUUUGCUGGUUUUCGGAGCUUGAGGUAAUGAUUGAGAGGGACUGACGGGGGCAUUCGUAUUACGGUGUUAGAGGUGAAAUUCUUGGAUCGCCGUAAGACGAACUACUGCGAAAGCAUUUGCCAAGAAUGUUUUCAUUA
rnacentral:rRNA from 1 species